rnacentral:lncRNA from 1 species
CUUUUUUUUUUUCUUGGGCCUCAGAUCUGUCUCAUACUGAGUGCUCUAGGCUUCUUCUAUUUGCAUAUCAACUUAAGUCCUGGCUGAGGUCUGGAAGGAACUGGGAAAACUGGAAUUCUGAGCAGAAACCUCAUGCCUAAGGCAUUUUAACCAUAAGCCACAAUUUUCAGGUUUGGAUGUUGAAAAUUAUGAUACAAGUUUAAGAUACAAUUUACAAAAUUUCAUACCUUUACAUUUUCCUACACUAGAAAAACUUGCUCACACAAAACUGAAAAUAGGAUCUCUACCAUCAGAAGAAAUUUCUUUAGGAUCAUUAAGUCACUUCCUUUGUUCUGAAGUUCCUAUAGUAUUAAGUUACAUUAAAUCAUUUGAAAAAAAUCUUAAAAUAGAACCACACACUACCAUGUAUAUCCAAAAUUAAGCUUUAAAAAUUUAAGACUGUUGCUAUUCAAUGUUAUUUCAAUAAGCCAGACCAACAUUUUUUUCCUAAAUCUUACACACUGAGGGGAAAGAUACCAUAUCAUAAUUUACUAUCCUUGCCCAAGUUAAUGCACUGGUACACCUAGUGAAAUCUUCUCAGGCUACCCAGUUCAAAAUAAAACUAAAUGAUUGGGAGUUACUUGCCAACUUGGAAGUAGAGUUCUUUUUUAACUUUUUUAUCCUAAGUAUUUAAGUUCUCUGGCAUGAAUUAUCUGAAAUCACAAACUAAACAAUUACCUAACCCCAACUUUUAACUGCAAGAUUAUGCAAUGCUUCAAACUCAUUUAGAUACCAGGUUGUUACAAUAAAAAAUCAUCUUUUAGACACACAUUCAGCCAAGAUCAUCCCCAAGAAACAAUCUAUAAUAACCUUUAAAACAGACCAGAUAAGAAAAAAUCUCUCCAGGUUUUGAACUUCCAUUUAAUUAUGACUCCUAUCAGUGGCACCAUAGAUUUCCCAUGAGUGGACCAGAUGUUUUCACAGAGGGGCAACUAUAGGUGUAAAAUCAAGGGUCUCAGUGUGACUGACUUUACUGCAUUCAGUGUCCCUUCUUUUUAAGUGGACAGAGAUGGAGCAAUCCUUACAGUGCAGGGAAGAAUGAGGAAAUUCCCCAAAGCGAAAAUGGCUCUGGCAGCUGCUGGGAAUCCUCAGUUUCCCUUUUACUUACAGGAUUAGCUCCUUUGGAUAGAUCCAAUCCCAGGCAAUCUGGCAUAUCUCCUAACUUUCCAGUAGAGUCAGUUUUUAUCUGCCUUAGGUCUUGAAGGGGGAAGGGGGUAUGUACUUUGAUCGGC